AACACUGUUAACCUGCGGUACCUGCGGAAGGAUCAUUACAGAGUUGCAAAACUCCCACAAACCAUCGCGAAUCUUACCCGUACGGUUGCCUCGGCGCUGGCGGUCCGGAAGGCCCUCGGGCCCCCGGACCCUCGGGUCUCCCGCUCGCGGGAGGCUGCCCGCCGGAGUGCCGAAACCAAACUCUUGAUAUUUUUAUGUCUCUCUGAGUAAACUUUUAAAUAAGUCAAAACUUUCAACAAU
rnacentral:misc_RNA from 1 species